ACUAAAACUUUCAACAACGGAUCUCUUGGUUCUGGCAUCGAUGAAGAACGCAGCGAAAUGCGAUAAGUAAUGUGAAUUGCAGAAUUCAGUGAAUCAUCGAAUCUUUGAACGCACAUUGCGCCCCUUGGUAUUCCGAGGGGCAUGCCUGUUCGAGCGUCAUUUCAACCCUCAAGCUUUGCUUGGUAUUGGG
rnacentral:rRNA from 1 species